GAGAUCAGUGUUGUGUUUUGAAUGUUGUUUUUACAGGAGAGAGCACUAAGUUUACCUGUCGGAGAGCAGCGGGCAAACAACAAACGAUAAAGGACAUUCCUACUUGGUCUUGUGUCAAAGUUGUGCAGAGUUGAAGGAAGAAACCUCAAAGACAGUGCCAGAAGGAUGCUGGACAGGGUUUGAAAAAAAUUCCCUCAUGUCCAAAU